rnacentral:rRNA from 1 species
GGAAUUCGGCAAAUUAUUAUUUUGCCUGUUUAUCAAAAACAUGUCUAUUUGUAGCGAUAAAUAGUCUGGCCUGCCCACUGAUUAAGAUAAUUUAAGGGCCGCGGUAUUUUAACUGUGCAAAGGUAGCAUAAUCAUUAGAUUUUUAAUUGAAAUCUUGUAUGAAUGGUUGGACAAAAAUAAAGUUGUCUCUAUGUUAAUGUUGAAUUUAACUUUUAAGUGAAAAGGCUUAAAUAUAUUAGAGGGACGAUAAGACCUUAUAAAACUUUAUGUUGUAAUUUUAUUUAAUUGAAUUUAUAAAUAAAGAUUUAAUUUUAUUAUACAUUGUGUUGGGGAGACGAAGAUAAAAAGAUUUUAUAACUGUUUUAUAUUUAAACAAAUGUCUAUGAAUUUUUAAGAGAUCCUUUAUAAAGAUUUAAAGAUUAAGUUACUUUAGGGAUAACAGCGUUAUUUUUUUGAGAGUUCUUAUCGAAAAAAGAGUUUGCGACCUCGAUGUUGAAUUAAAAUAUCUUUGUGGUGCAGAAGUUACAAGAGAAGGUCUGUUCGACCUUUAAAUUUUUACAUGAUUUGAGUUCAAACCGGCGUGAGCCAGGUUGGUUUCUAUCUUCUAAAUUAAAAUAAAUUAUUUUAGUACGAAAGGAGUAAAUAAUUAAAAUAUUUUUAAUACUAUUUUGGCAGAUAAUAUGCAUUAAAUUUAGGAUUUAAUUAUAUAGG